rnacentral:rRNA from 1 species
UCCAUGCCGUAAACUAUGAGGGCUAUUUGUAGGGGUCGUUGACGACCUCUGUGGAACAGCUAACGCGUUAAGCCCUCCGCCUGGGGAGUACGGUCGCAAGAUUAAAACUCAAAGGAAUUGACGGGGGCCCGCACAAGCGGUGGAGCAUGUGGCUUAAUUCGAAAAUACGCGAAGAACCUUACCUAGCCUUGACAUUGAAGAAACACACUAGAGAUAGAGUGGUGCCCUUCGGG